AUAAAAAAAUACAAAUUUUUGCUUCCUUUCUUGUGUACCGUUAUUUUCAAUUGUCCAAGAAAAUUUUCAAACGGAAAAGAGGUUAUCGUCUCUAAAGAGCCGUAGGCAAGGGAAUAUGUUUUAGACAGUGGGAAUUUAAUGUAAGCAUUGUUUACUUAUAUAAUGAGGUAAGUUGUUUUACGAAAUUAUUAAAUCAAAUGUUAACCGAAAUGUCUGCUGUUAGGGAUGCCAAAUAAAUGAAACAACCUUUUACUUUGAGUUCUGAAUUGAAACUGUUUUUUUUCCAAAUAUUGUUUCCAAGCUUCGUAUUCAACACUUAUCUAUGACCAACGCAGAGGCCGCAUCAAUUUGCCUGAGCUGCAGAUUUACUGUGUGUGUGUGAGACACAUCUUAGGCGAUAACAUUUGUUAGUUCAAGUACUGUACUAAAUGACUAAGAACUCCACCCAUAUCUUGUUUGAGUAACAAAUCUUGCUUGACUUUAAUUACAAUUUCAUAUUAGUUUAUGUAUUACAAUAGUAUUUAUAUGUUCUAAUAUCGAGCAUACCGCUAGGUUUGGCUAUGGCUUGUAAUUGCCUUCGUACAUUUAUUAUUCCUAUAAAAUAUACAGUUAAAAUGAUUAUAAUUACAGUUGCCAACACUUAAAGUCUGUACCUAUUCUUUAUCCUUGCAGAACUAAAUUCUCAGACAAAUUGGACAGACAAAAUUGGAAAUUUUACUUGAUAAGAUUCCCGCUAACUUUGAAAGUACUAGUGCUUCCAUUGUUAAAUCCUUCUGGCAAUUAUUGCUUUUUAUUGAAAGCGUUACCUUGUGCCUCAAUAUGCACUUUCCUGUGGAAGACACUCCACUGAUCUCCGAUUAAGAUCAAAUUUUCGAACUAAAUUCUCAGACAAAUUGGACAGACAAAAUUGGAAAUUUUACUUGAUAAGAUUCCCGCUAACUUUGAAAGUACUAGUGCUUCCAUUGUUAAAUCCUUCUGGCAAUUAUUGCUUUUUAUUGAAAGCGUUACCUUGUGCCUCAAUAUGCACUUUCCUGUGGAAGACACUCCACUGAUCUCCGAUUAAGAUCAAAUUUUCGAACUAAAUUCUCAGACAAAUUGGACAGACAAAAUUGGAAAUUUUACUUGAUAAGAUUCCCGCUAACUUUGAAAGUACUAGUGCUUCCAUUGUUAAAUCCUUCUGGCAAUUAUUGCUUUUUAUUGAAAGCGUUACCUUGUGCCUCAAUAUGCACUUUCCUGUGGAAGACACUCCACUGAUCUCCGAUUAAGAUCAAAUUUUCGGUAAUUUUAAAAUCUUUGCAAAUUUUUUCGAAGUAGUUGUGUUUUGCGAAUCGUUGUCAUGCCAGCGUUGACUUUUUCUUUUUUAUUAUUUUUUU